UACGAAGGGUGCAAGCGUUAAUCGGAAUUACUGGGCGUAAAGGGUGCGUAGGCGGUUCGUUAAGUCUGUCGUGAAAUCCCCGGGCUCAACCUGGGAAUGGCGAUGGAUACUGGCGAGCUAGAGUGUGUCAGAGGAUGGUGGAAUUCCCGGUGUAGCGGUGAAAUGCGUAGAGAUCGGGAGGAACAUCAGUGGCGAAGGCGGCCAUCUGGACAACACUGACGCUGAAGCACGAAAGCGUGGGGAGCAAACAGG
rnacentral:rRNA from 1 species